CAAUAGCGUAUAUUUAAGUUGUUGCAGUUAAAAAGCUCGUAGUUGGAUUUCGGGUGGGACGCAGCGGUCUCGCAUUGCGUUUGUACUGCUGCAGCCCUCCUUCUUGCCGGGGGCGGCCUCUCGGACUUCACUGUCUGGGGGUCAGAAUCGGCGAUGUUACUUUGAGUAAAUUAGAGUGUUCAAAGCAAGCUUACGCUCUGAAUAUAAUAGCAUGGAAUAACACGGUAGGACUCUGGCUUAUCUUGUUGGUCUGUGAGACCAGAGUAAUGAUUAAGAGGGACAGUCGGGGGCAUUCGUAUUUCAUUGUCAGAGGUGAAAUUCUUGGAUUUAUGAAAGACGAACUUCUGCGAAAGCAUUUGUCAAGGAUGUUUUCAUUA
rnacentral:rRNA from 1 species